GACGGAGGAUGCAAGUGUUAUCCGGAAUCACUGGGCGUAAAGCGUCUGUAGGUGGUUCGAAAAGUCCACUGUUAAAAAUUGAGGCUUAACUUCAAAGAUGCCGUGGAAACUUUCAAACUAGAGUAUGGUAGGGGUAGAGGGAAUUUCCAGUGGAGCGGUGAAAUGCGUAGAUAUUGGGAAGAACACCAGAGGCGAAGGCGGGUUGCUGGGCCGACACUGACGCUGAGGCGCGAAAGCCAGGGGAGCAAACGGG
rnacentral:rRNA from 1 species